UGGAAGUAAAAAAUCGUAACAAGGUUUCCGUAGGUGAACCUGC
rnacentral:rRNA from 1 species